GCAAACUUGGUCAUUUAGAGGAAGUAAAAGUCGUAACAAGGUUUCCGUAGGUGAACCUGCGGAAGGAUCAUUAAAGAUUCUGACCUUCGGGUCAACAUUCCAGCUGUGCGCCUCGGCUGCACGCUGGUAAACCUCACACACCUGUGCACAUUUCGGUCGCAUCCUGCCACGCAGGCUUGCUUCCGCUUUAACAUUUAACCACACGUCUUGAAUGUAAUAAACUAUAAAGUAACAACUUUCAACAACGGAUCUCUUGGCUCUCGCAUCGAUGAAGAACGCAGC
rnacentral:misc_RNA from 1 species